AUUGAACGCUGGCGGCAUGCCUUACACAUGCAAGUCGAACGGCAGCACGGAGCUUGCUCUGGUGGCGAGUGGCGAACGGGUGAGUAAUAUAUCGGAACGUACCCUAGAGUGGGGGAUAACGUAGCGAAAGUUACGCUAUACCGCAUACGAUCUAAGGAUGAAAGUGGGGGAUCGCAAGACCUCAUGCUCGUGGAGCGGCCGAUAUCUGAUUAGCUAGUUGGUAGGGUAAAAGCCUACCAAGGCAUCGAUCAGUAGCUGGUCUGAGAGGACGACCAGCCACACUGGAACUGAGACACGGUCCAGACUCCUACGGGAGGCAGCAGUGGGGAAUUUUGGACAAUGGGCGAAAGCCUGAUCCAGCAAUGCCGCGUGAGUGAAGAAGGCCUUCGGGUUGUAAAGCUCUUUUGUCAGGGAAGAAACGGUGGGAGCUAAUAUCUCUUGCUAAUGACGGUACCUGAAGAAUAAGCACCGGCUAACUACGUGCCAGCAGCCGCGGUAAUACGUAGGGUGCAAGCGUUAAUCGGAAUUACUGGGCGUAAAGCGUGCGCAGGCGGUUUUGUAAGUCUGAUGUGAAAUCCCCGGGCUCAACCUGGGAAUUGCAUUGGAGACUGCAAGGCUAGAAUCUGGCAGAGGGGGGUAGAAUUCCACGUGUAGCAGUGAAAUGCGUAGAUAUGUGGAGGAACACCGAUGGCGAAGGCAGCCCCCUGGGUCAAGAUUGACGCUCAUGCACGAAAGCGUGGGGAGCAAACAGGAUUAGAUACCCUGGUAGUCCACGCCCUAAACGAUGUCUACUAGUUGUCGGGUCUUAAUUGACUUGGUAACGCAGCUAACGCGUGAAGUAGACCGCCUGGGGAGUACGGUCGCAAGAUUAAAACUCAAAGGAAUUGACGGGGACCCGCACAAGCGGUGGAUGAUGUGGAUUAAUUCGAUGCAACGCGAAAAACCUUACCUACCCUUGACAUGGCUGGAAUCCUUGAGAGAUCAGGGAGUGCUCGAAAGAGAACCAGUACACAGGUGCUGCAUGGCUGUCGUCAGCUCGUGUCGUGAGAUGUUGGGUUAAGUCCCGCAACGAGCGCAACCCUUGUCAUUAGUUGCUACGAAAGGGCACUCUAAUGAGACUGCCGGUGACAAACCGGAGGAAGGUGGGGAUGACGUCAAGUCCUCAUGGCCCUUAUGGGUAGGGCUUCACACGUCAUACAAUGGUACAUACAGAGCGCCGCCAACCCGCGAGGGGGAGCUAAUCGCAGAAAGUGUAUCGUAGUCCGGAUUGUAGUCUGCAACUCGACUGCAUGAAGUUGGAAUCGCUAGUAAUCGCGGAUCAGCAUGUCGCGGUGAAUACGUUCCCGGGUCU
rnacentral:rRNA from 1 species